rnacentral:rRNA from 1 species
GACGAACGCUGGCGGCGUGCCUAACACAUGCAAGUGGAGCGACGAACCAGGGCUUGCCCUGGGGCCAAGCCGCGAACGGGUGAGUAACACGUGGGUAACCUGCCCAGAUGACCGGGACAACCCGAGGAAACUCGGGCUAAUACCGGAUGUGACCCUCACACAUCAGUGUGAGAACCAAAGGAAGCUUCGGCCUCCGCAUCUGGAGGGGCCCGCGGCCCAUUAGCUUGUUGGUGAGGUAACGGCUCACCAAGGCCAUGAUGGGUAGCUGGUCUGAGAGGACGAUCAGCCACACUGGGACUGAGACACGGCCCAGACUCCUACGGGAGGCAGCAGUGGGGAAUCUUGCGCAAUGCGCGAAAGCGUGACGCAGCAAC